rnacentral:rRNA from 1 species
GGCCUUUUGAAAAUUUAUAUAAAAGGUUGGGCCUGCCAGUGAUCUGAAAUGGUUUAACGGCUGCGAUUGAAACCGUACUAAGGUAGCAUAAUAAUUUGCCCUUUAAUUGGGGGAGAGAAUGAAUGGUUUGACGGUAAAAAAGCUGUUUUAAAAAGUAAUUAAAGAAGUUAACUUUUAAGUGAAAAGGCUUAAGUUUUUAUAAAAGACGAGAAGACCCCGUCGAGCUUAAUUAGGAUAGCUUUAUUUAAAAGAUAUCUAAAAUUUUAUUGGGGCAAUAGAAAAUGAAAAGAAUCAUUUUUUUAUAGAAUAAGGAUCCAGUUUUGACUGAAAAAAGCAAAACUACCGCGGGGAUAACAGGGUAAUUUUUUCUGAGAGUUCAUAUUUAAGAGAAAGUUUGCUACCUCGAUGUUGGAUUAAAAUUUCUUUAUGCUUGCAGCAGGUAUAAUAGUAGGACUGUUCGUCCUUUAAAAUUUU